rnacentral:rRNA from 1 species
UACGGGGGGAGCAAGCGUUGUUCGGAUUUACUGGGCGUAAAGGGCGCGUAGGCGGCCAGCACAAGUCAGUUGUGAAAUCCCCGGGCUUAACCUGGGAAUUGCGCUUGAAACUAGCGGGCUUGAGUGUGGCAGAGGGGGGUGGAAUUCCACGUGUAGCAGUGAAAUGCGUAGAGAUGUGGAGGAACACCGAUGGCGAAGGCGGCG